UGAGGAAUAUUGCACAAUGGAGGGAACUCUGAUGCAGCGACGCCGCGUGAACGAAGAAGGCUUUCGAGUCGUAAAGUUCUUUUAUAUGGGAAGAUAAUGACGGUACCAUAAGAAAAAGCCCCGGCUAACUACGUGCCAGCAGCCGCGGUAAUACGUAGGGGGCUAGCGUUGUCCGGAAUCACUGGGCGUAAAGGGUUCGCAGGCGGAAAUGCAAGUCAGGUGUAAAAGGCAGUAGCUUAACUACUGUAAGCAUUUGAAACUGCAUAUCUUGAGAAGAGUAGAGGUAAGUGGAAUUUUUAGUGUAGCGGUGAAAUGCGUAGAUAUUAAAAAGAAUACCGGUGGCGAAGGCGACUUACUGGGCUCAUUCUGACGCUGAGGAACGAAAGCGUGGGUAGCAAACAGG
rnacentral:rRNA from 2 species